GAUAUAUACAAUGAAAUGGACCUUAAAAGUUGCAAUGUCUUUCACAUUGCAACUUUUAAGGUCCAUUUCAUUGUAUAUAUC
rnacentral:pre_miRNA from 1 species